rnacentral:rRNA from 1 species
UACGGAGGGGGCUAGCGUUAUUCGGAAUUAUUGGGCGUAAAGGGCGCGUAGGCGGCCCGGUAAGUCAAAGGUGAAAUCCCUCGGCUCAACUGAGGAACUGCCUUUGAAACUGUUGGGCUUGAGGCCGGGGGGGGGGUAGCGGAAUUCCCAGUGUAGCGGUGAAAUGCGUAGAUAUUGGGAGGAACACCGGUGGCGAAGGCGGCUACCUGGACCGGUUCUGACGCUGAUGCGCGAAAGCGUGGGUAGCAAACAGG